rnacentral:rRNA from 1 species
UACAGAGGCCUCGAGCGUUAGGCGGAAUCACUGGGCUUAAAGCGUGUGUAGGCGGACUUCUAAGUACCUUGUGAAAUCCCACGGCUCACCCGUGGAACUGCUCGGUAUACUGGUCGUCUUGAGCCUUCUAGGGGCGAGUGGAACAAAUGGUGGAGCGGUGAAAUGCGUAGAUAUCAUUUGGAACGCCAAUGGUGAAAACAACUCGCUGGGGAAGUACUGACGCUGAGACACGAAAGCCAGGGGAGCUAACGGG